rnacentral:rRNA from 1 species
AUUGAACGCUGGCGGCAGGCUUAACACAUGCAAGUCGAACGAGUGGCGGACGGGUGAGUAAUGCUUGGGAAUCUAGCUUAUGGAGGGGGAUAACUACGGGAAACUGUAGCUAAUACCGCGUACCAUAGGAUGAGCCCAAGUGGGAUUAGGUAGUUGGUGAUGUAAAGGCUCACCAAGCCGACGAUCUCUAGCUGGUCUUAGAGGAUGACCAGCCACACUGGGACUGAGACACGGCCCAGACUCCUACGGGAGGCAGCAGUGGGGAAUAUUGCGCAAUGGGGGCAACCUGACGCAGCCAUGCCGCGUGUAUGAAGAAGGCCUUCGGGUUGUAAAGUUCUUUCGGUAGCGAGGCGUUACCAACAGAAUAAGCACCGGCUAACUUCGUGCCAGCAGCCGCGGUAAUAC